CCUACGGGAGGCAGCAGUGGGGAAUAUUGGGCAAUGGAGGAAACUCUGACCCAGCGACGCCGCGUGCGGGAUGAAGGCCUUCGGGUUGUAAACCGCUUUCAGCAGGGAAGAAGCGAAAGUGACGGUACCUGCAGAAGAAGCACCGGCUAACUAUGUGCCAGCAGCCGCGGUAAUACAUAGGGUGCAAGCGUUGUCCGGAAUUAUUGGGCGUAAAGAGCUCGUAGGUGGUUCGUCACGUCGGAUGUGAAAAUCUGGGGCUCAACCCCAGACCUGCAUUCGAUACGGGCGAGCUUGAGUAUGGUAGGGGAGUCUGGAAUUCCUGGUGUAGCGGUGGAAUGCGCAGAUAUCAGGAGGAACACCAAUGGCGAAGGCAGGACUCUGGGCCAUUACUGACACUGAGGAGCGAAAGCGUGGGGAGCGAACAGGAUUAGAUACCCUGGUAGUCCACGCCGUAAACGGUGGGCACUAGUUGUGGGGACCUUCCACGGUCUCUGCGACGCAGCUAACGCAUUAAGUGCCCCGCCUGGGGAUACGAUCGCAAGNUUAAAACUUAAGGAAUUGAGG
rnacentral:rRNA from 1 species